rnacentral:rRNA from 1 species
AUUGAACGCUGGCGGCAGGCCUAACACAUGCAAGUCGAACGAGUGGCGGACGGGUGAGUAAUGUCUGGGAAACUUCCCGAUGGAGGGGGAUAACUACUGGAAACGGUAGCUAAUACCGCAUACCAUCGGAUGUGCCCAGAUGGGAUUAGCUAGUAGGUGGGGUAACGGCUCACCUAGGCGACGACCCCUAGCUGGUCUGAGAGGAUGACCAGCCAACCUGGAACUGGGACACGGUCCAACCUCCUACGGGAGGAAGCAGUGGGGAAUAUUGCACAAGGGGCGCAAGCCUGAUGCAGACAUGCCGCGUGUAUGAAGAAGGCCUGCGGGUUGUAAAGUACUUUCAGCGAGGAGGCGUUACUCGCAGAGGAAGCACCGGCUAACUCCGUGCCAGCCGCCGCGGUAAUAC